GCAGGAGUGGCGGAAUUGGCAUACGCGAUAGGUUGAGGGCCUAUUGAGCUUCAAAGCUCGUGAGGGUUCAAGUCCCUCCUUCUGCACCA
rnacentral:tRNA from 1 species